AUGCACAUUUCAUUGACCUGCUUUUCUUUGCAUUGGUAAGCAGUGUUAUUUCUGAUGUGCGAAAAGAACAAUUUGAAAGCUAAUUAGCAGUGUUGCUGUAAAUAGUGACUCCUGCCAGUCUCUUUCAUACAUGC